CAGUUCGGAUUGUAGUCUGCAACCCGACUACAUGAAGCUGGAAUCGCUAGUAAUCGCGAAUCAGAAUGUCGCGGUGAAUACGGUUCCCGGGUCUUGUACACACCGCCCGUCACACCAUGAGAGUCGGGAACACCCGAAGUCCGUAGUCUAACCGCAAGGGGGGCGCGGCCGAAGGUGGGUCCGGUAAUUGGGGUGAAGUCGUAACAAGGUAGC
rnacentral:rRNA from 1 species